rnacentral:rRNA from 1 species
GGGGGGGGGGGGGGGGGGGGGGGGGUCGGGGGGGUGGGGCGAGGGGGCGGGGGGGGUGGGGUUCUGGUGUUGGGGGCGGGCGUGUGAGUAGCCCGUGGGUAACGUACCUGUGCGACUGGGAGAACUUGGUGAGACCGGCUCUAAUUCCUGAUGAUUUUUUCACCCGCCUUUGUCAACACUGCAACACGUUCUUUCUGUCUCUUUUCCACGACUCCGCGCUGCAUUCGCUAGUUGGUUAGGUAACGGCUUACCAAUGCAACGAUGCAUAGCCGACCCGAGAGGGUGAUAGGCCACACUGGAACAGAGACACGGUCAAGACUCCUACGGGAGGCAGCAGUAGGGAAUCUUCCGCAAUGAGAGAAAGAAUGACGGAGCAACGCCGCGUGAGUGAUGAAGGUCUUCGGAUCGUAAAAAGCUAUUAUUAGGGAAGAACAUAUGUGUAAGUAACUGUGCACAGCUUGACGGUACCUAAUCAGAAAGACACGGCUAAAUACGUG